CUGAUAGUGGCUACAAUCUAGAAAAAUCCUCUCCCCAAGGAGUUUGCUAAGCACAGAACAAUGACAACACACUUCUGUGUUCAGAGGCCCUCUGGCUUUCUGAGCCUUGCAAUCUCUUCAGCUCAGUGGGGCAACUGACAGGGAUGGUGAGAGAGUCCACCUCCUUCAGCCUGGACCACAAAGGGUGGUCGACGUGCUCUCCUAGGAGAUGGAAGAUGCAUGCUUUAACCUCUUCAAGUGUGUCAGCUGCUGUAACUCCUAUUGUGAUUUCCUCCCCGUUCGAUACACAUGAUGUGAAAUCCACCCUGGGACAAAGAAACUUAAAGAAGCCGUAUACCUGUGCUGAAUUUCUGUGGCUGUGUGAAGGGCACCUGUCAUGGGCCAAGUGGAGAGUCCCAGCAAGUGUGGGCAGCCAGCUCCUUCCCUGGGGUGAGCAUGGGAGCCAGAAGCAUCUUCCCUGCUGCAUGGACUGCAGGCCAAAAUCUGCUGGGGGCUGAGCACAGGCUCCUUCUUUCUGAUGUCUAUGUGAAUGUUGGUGAAGAAAAUAGCCACAGUGGGGCUUUGAAGAGCACUCUUGAACCAGAAUGAGCUGUGGAUUCAUACAGUUAGCAAACAGCAGCUGUUUCCUCACAUUAAGAGAUCACGCAAUAUGCAUUGUCAUCAGUGUGUGACCCAUGCAAAAUAUCAUUGCUGUUGCCCAUUACCAUCC
rnacentral:lncRNA from 1 species